rnacentral:rRNA from 1 species
GUUGAACGGCCACAUUGGGACUGAGACACGGCCCAGACUCCUACGGGAGGCAGCAGUGGGGAAUAUUGCACAAUGGGGGAAACCCUGAUGCAGCGACGCCGCGUGGAGGAAGAAGGUCUUCGGAUUGUAAACUCCUGUUGUUGGGGAAGAUAAUGACGGUACCCAACAAGGGAAGUGACGGCUAACUACGUGCCAGCAGCCGCGGUAAAACGUAGGUCACAAGCGUUGUCCGGAAUUACUGGGUGUAAAGGGAGCGCAGGCGGGAAGACAAGUUGGAAGUGAAAUCUAUGGGCUCAACCCAUAAACUGCUUUCAAAACUGUUUUUCUUGAGUAGUGCAGAGGUAGGCGGAAUUCCCGGUGUAGCGGUGGAAUGCGUAGAUAUCGGGAGGAACACCAGUGGCGAAGGCGGCCUACUGGGCACCAACUGACGCUGAGGCUCGAAAGUGUGGGUAGCAAACAGGAUUAGAUACCCUGGUAGUCCACACCGUAAACGAUGAUUACUAGGUGUUGGAGGAUUGACCCCUUCAGUGCCGCAGUUAACACAAUAAGUAAUCCACCUGGGGAGUACGACCGCAAGGUUGAAACUCAAAGGAAUUGACGGGGGCCCGCACAAGCAGUGGAGUAUGUGGUUUAAUUCGACGCAACGCGAAGAACCUUACCAAGUCUUGACAUCCCUUGACAGGCAUAGAAAUAUGUUUUCUCUUCGGAGCAAGGAGACAGGUGGUGCAUGGUUGUCGUCAGCUCGUGUCGUGAGAUGUUGGGUUAAGUCCCGCAACGAGCGCAACCCUUAUGGUCAGUUACUACGCAAGAGGACUCUGGCCAGACUGCCGUUGACAAAACGGAGGAAGGUGGGGAUGACGUCAAAUCAUCAUGCCCUUUAUGACUUGGGCUACACACGUACUACAAUGGCGUUAAACAAAGAGAAGCAAGACCGCGAGGUGGAGCAAAACUCAGAAACAACGUCCCAGUUCGGACUGCAGGCUGCAACUCGCCUGCACGAAGUCGGAAUUGCUAGUAAUCGUGGAUCAGCAUGCCACGGUGAAUACGUUCCCGGGCCUUGUACACACCGCCCGUCACACCACGAGAGCCGGGGGGACCCGAAGUCGGUAGUCUAACCGCAAGGAGGACGCCGCCGAAGGUAAAACUGGUGAUUGGGGUGAAGUCGUAACAAGGUAGCCGUAGGAGAACCUGCGGCUG